rnacentral:rRNA from 1 species
AGAGUUUGAUCAUGGCUCAGGAUGAACGCUGGCGGCGUGCCUAAUACAUGCAAGUCGAACGAGGGUCCGAUUCGUAAGAAUAGGAAUUCCGAGUGGCGAACGGGUGAGUAACACGUAGACGACCUGCCCUCAAGAGGGGGAUAACGUUCCGAAAGGGAUGCUAAUACCCCAUAAGCUCACGGGAGCUAGACAACCGGGAGAAACGGGAGAAAUCCGCUUGAGGAGGGGUCUGCGGCCCAUCAGGUAGUUGGUGAGGUAACGGCUCACCAAGCCGAAGACGGGUAGGGGGCCUGAGAGGGUGGUCCCCCACACGGGCACUGAGAGACGGGCCCGACUCCUACGGGAGGCAGCAGUAAGGGAUAUUGCGCAAUGGGCGAAAGCCAGACGCAGCAACGCCGCGUGCCCGAUGAAGGCCUUCGGGUCGUAAAGGGCUUUUCUGGCUGAAGAGCAAGGACGGUAAGCCAGGAAAAAGUGUCGGCUAACUACGUGCCAGCAGCCGCGGUAAAACGUAGGACGCGAGCGUUAUCCGGAGUUACUGGGCGUAAAGGGUGGGCAGGCGGCCGUGUCAGAUGGGUGUGAAAUCUCCCGGCUCAACCGGGAGGGGCCACUCGUGACUGCACGGCUGGAGGGCAGCAGAGGCGCGUGGAAUUCCGGGUGGAGUGGUGAAAUGCGUAGAGAUCCGGAGGAACACCAGAGGCGAAAGCGGCGCGCUGGGCUGCAACUGACGCUGAACCACGAAAGCCAGGGUAGCGAACGGGAUUAGAAACCCCGGUAGUCCUGGCCGUAAACGAUGUCAACUGGGCCUUGGUAUGGAAGCAUAUCAGGCCCGGAGCGAACGCGCUAAGUUGACCGCCUGGGGGAGUACGACCGCAAGGUUAAAACUCAAAUGAAUUGACGG